rnacentral:rRNA from 1 species
AUUGAACGCUGGCGGCAUGCCUUACACAUGCAAGUCGAACGGCAGCACGGGGCAACCUGGUGGCGAGUGGCGAACGGGUGAGUAAUGUAUCGGAACGUACCUUUCAGUGGGGGAUAACGUAGCGAAAGUUACGCUAAUACCGCAUAUUCUGUGAGCAGGAAAGCAGGGGAUCUUAGGACCUUGCGCUGAUUGAGCGGCCGAUAUCAGACUAGCUAGUUGGUGAGGUAAAGGCUCACCAAGGCGACGAUCUGUAGCGGGUCUGAGAGGAUGAUCCGCCACACUGGAACUGAGACACGGUCCAGACUCCUACGGGAGGCAGCAGUGGGGAAUUUUGGACAAUGGGCGCAAGCCUGAUCCAGCCAUGCCGCGUGAGUGAAGAAGGCCUUCGGGUUGUAAAGCUCUUUCAGCCGGGAAGAAAACGCAUGGGUUAAUACCCUGUGUGGAUGACGGUACCGGAAUAAGAAGCACCGGCUAACUACGUGCCAGCAGCCGCGGUAAGAC